rnacentral:rRNA from 1 species
GUGGGGAAUCUUGCGCAAUGGGCGAAAGCCUGACGCAGCCAUGCCGCGUGAAUGAUGAAGGUCUUAGGAUUGUAAAAUUCUUUCACCGGGGACGAUAAUGACGGUACCCGGAGAAGAAGCUCCGGCUAACUUCGUGCCAGCAGCCGCGGUAAUACGAAGGGGGCUAGCGUUGCUCGGAAUUACUGGGCGUAAAGGGCGCGUAGGCGGACAGCUUAGUCAGAGGUGAAAGCCCAGGGCUCAACCUUGGAAUUGCCUUUGAUACUGGCUGUCUUGAGUUUGGGAGAGGUGAGUGGAACUCCGAGUGUAGAGGUGAAAUUCGUAGAUAUUCGGAGGAACACCAGUGGCGAAGGCGGCUUACUGGUCCAUUACUGACGCUGAGGUGCGAAAGCGUGGGGAGCAAACAGGAUUAGAUACCCCAGUAGUCC